ACGUAUUACGUGCCAGCAGUCGCGGUAAUACGUAGGGUGCGAGCGUUAAUCGGAAUUACUGGGCGUAAAGCGUGCGCAGGCGGUUUUGUAAGACAGGCGUGAAAUCCCCGGGCUCAACCUGGGAACUGCGUUUGUGACUGCAAAGCUAGAGUACGGCAGAGGGGGGUGGAAUUCCACGUGUAGCAGUGAAAUGCGUAGAGAUGUGGAGGAACACCAAUGGCGAAGGCAGCCCCCUGGGUCGAUACUGACGCUCAUGCACGAAAGCGUGGGUAGCAAACAGAAUUAGAUACCCUGGUAGUCCACGCCCUAAACGAUGUCAACUAGGUGUUGCGGG
rnacentral:rRNA from 1 species